GAUGAACGCUGGCGGCGUGCCUAACACAUGCAAGUCGAGCGGACGGACCAUGAGCUUGCGGCGCGCACGUGAGCGGAGCGCGUGUGAAUAACGCGUGUAUAACGCACCUAUAUGUCGGGUAUAAUUUCGGAAAACCGGAGCUAAUACCAGAGAAUAUUUUGCAGCGCAGGGGGCAAAGGUAAAAGACGGCGGUGCUGGAUCUAAUAGAGGGAUCCGCGCUGGAUUAGGUGGUUGGUAAGGUAAUGGCUUACCAAGGCAACGAUGCGUAGCCGACGGCAGAGGCUGAUCGCCCACACUGGAGCUGGGCCACGGUCCAGACUCCUGCGGGAGGCAGCAGUCGGGAAUCUUACGCAAUGGGCGAAAGUCUUACAGAGCGACCGCGCGUGAGUGAUGACGGUCUUCCGUUCGUAAAGCUCUGUUAUUAGGUAUGAACCGCUGUGUCCGUAACUGUGGCCAUCUUGACGGUACCUAGUCAGAAAGCCCCGGCUAACUACGUG
rnacentral:rRNA from 1 species